UCGCGCCGCUGAGAGAUCUGUUUUCCGGGCACGGUUGAUGGAGAAGUGGCCCUACGCCGUCCCCGGGCUUCUUGUCCGGCCGCUGCAGCCUUCGCCGCGGAGGCCGGGAGGGGAAUGUCCCUUGGCCUGGAAAGAAUGGACCAUUCUACCUUGCUGCUUCCUGCUGAUUACCAGUAAUGCUCCCUUGCAAAACUCUUUAGCCAAGUCCGUAUGGCCAGGAGAACAUUCUCAGCUCAAGGGGAACUACCAUGAUUGAGAGGAACCAGUUUGAAUGGGUCAUGUCUUCUUGCCAGUAGUUUAAGCUGGGCAUAUGAGUCAGUUACGACCAAGCAUGUGUGAGGAGAAUUCUUCUGAAGGCCUUCAGCAAGUGCCUUUCUUCACUGAUUAAA